rnacentral:rRNA from 1 species
GACGAACGCUGGCGGCGUGCUUAACACAUGCAAGUCGAACGGAAAGGCCCUGCUUUUGUUGUGUGCUCGAGUGGCGAACGGGUGAGUAACACGUGAGUAACCUGCCCUUGACUUUGGGAUAACUUCUGGAAACUGUGGCUAAUACCGCAUAGCAGCUCCUGCUGCAUGGUGUUGGUUGGAAAGUUUCGGUGGCUUGGGUUGGACUCGCGGCUUCUCUGCUUGUUGGAGGGGUAGUGGCUUAGCAUGGCGUUGGCGGGUAGCCGGCCUGAGAGGGUGACCGGCCCCAUUGGGCCUGAGAUAGGGCCCAGACGCCUACGGGAGGCAGCGGUGGGGAUCAUUGCACAAUGGGCGGCAGCCUGAUGCAGCAACGCCGCGUGCGGGAUGACGGCUGUCGGGUUGUAAACCGCGUUCGCCUGUGACGAAGCGUGAGUGACGGUAACGGGUAAGGAAGCAACGGCUAACUACGUG